UUAUGAAGUUCAAAGGCCUUAUAGAAAAUGGACAGGAAAGUACACAUACAUAUAAAAUGAUACUGACAUUUCUGAAAUAAGAGAUAUGGUGUUUUAUCUAUACCAUACCAAAGCCCUUUAAGAUAAUGUGAUACUGUAUAAUAGUUGCAGCUUUAGACACUACUUCAGUUUUAAACAAUUUUCUAGAGAAAAAGCACAAUUCUUACCCAUAAUAACAGUCUAGUACUUGACAAAUUAUUAGCACACACUUCUUAGCUAUGCCUAAUAUAGGAAAAACUGCAUGCUAGGGGAGGCCUUAUUUCCCUCCUCCACUACACCAGAUUCACCUGCUUUUUAUGCUAAGCAGGGGAGGAGGCAGAGGCUUUUAAAGCAUAGCGUGAGAGGCAAUGAUGAGCCUCAACUGUGCUGAUCAGUGCCAGCUGGGGCCCUCGUGGCUCCAUUUAGGCCCGGGGCCAGGCCCCCAGCUCUUGGUUUGGGCUGUGUUGUGGUAGCUCUUCUGGUGUUCUCACUCUUCUUUCUGAAUGUAGCUAGGACAUGUGCUAAAGGAUGAGCUGCAAAGAUGUAGUGGCAAACAGAUGCAGCAGUCUGCAUGUGGAGCCCAUCUGAUUUUUUGGGGGACUAUUACAUUUAAUCCCAGGACUAAGCUCUCUGAAGGUUGGUGUUACAAUGCCAGGCUCAUGUUGUGCAUUGCUCCUGCAGCAUGGAAGCGGUUGGAGCUGUGCAAGACGCAGAAAAGCCCAGUCCUCCCGAGGGAUGUAUGCAAAGAGGAAUGUAUAUUGUAGUCAGUGUGAGGGGUUCAAGUAAGGGGACAGCAGCUGCCUAGCCUGCUGGGUUUUUCCCUAAAACCUAUUUUCCAAAUUUAGGUCCUUUGUGAGAUCCCAGUGCUUCAGCUCUGAGCUCUGAAAUGUUUGCCUCAGCACAAGUAAGAAGUACCAGGAAUGCUGCCUUUUUUUCAAUUUUCUUCUACUUAGCUUAUUUAUGUUCAAGUAUAUAUGGAAGUCAAAAUGAAAGCCAUUUGAAUUGCUAUAAAACAAAUUAAGAAGUCUCAAAAUUUACCCAUGGUCUAUGUUUAUAGAAAAAUGUUUCUAUGGAUUUAAGUUUUGGGGUGGGGUUGGGAGGUUUGGGUUUUCACUUGUACCCACUCGUAGAGGCUUUUUGUUUAUUCCAUUACUAAAACUACAAAUGCUGUAAAGUUGGCUUUAAUAAAU
rnacentral:lncRNA from 1 species